rnacentral:rRNA from 1 species
YUCGUAACAAGGUCUCCGUUGGUGAACCAGCGGAGGGAUCAUUAAAGAGUUGCAAAACUCCAACCCCUGUGAACCUUACCUGCACGUUGCUUCGGCGGCSGGCGCCGCGCCCGGCCGGGCGUGGAGGACGCCGCCGGAGGUCUCAAACCCUGAAUUCUAGUGUGUCUCUGAGUAUGGAAAGAACCAAUCAAAACUUUCAACAACGGAUCUCUUGGCUCUGGCAUCGAUGAAGAACGCAGCGAAAUGCGAUAAGUAAUGUGAAUUGCAGAAUUCAGUGAAUCAUCGAAUCUUUGAACGCACAUUGCGCCCGCCGGUAUUCCGGCGGGCAUGCCUGUCCGAGCGUCAUUUCACCACUCAAGCCCAGCUUGGUGUUGGGGCACCUGGCCGCCUGGCGGUCGGGGCCCCCAAGUACAUCGGCGGUCCCGCUGGGGCUCCGAGCGCAGUAUCUCGCGGUAAAACGCGCCCUCGCUCGGCGGCCUCUUUGGGCUUCCAGCCGCUAAACCCCCCAGUGACGUUUCUCGAGUUGACCUCGGAUCAGGUAGGAAUACCCGCUGAACUUAAGCAUAUCA